AGCUGAGCGCUGACGGAGGCUCGAGGCCUGGCAGCCGGGAGAGGUGGAUACCCAGCCACCGGGGAGGGAGAAAAAAGAAGCGCACACCUUUUAGAAUACAUUUUGGGGUAGAUAUACAGUUUGAAAUAGUAGGGCGAAGUAUAGUCAUCCCUUGGUAUCCGCGGGCAUCGAUCUCGGGACCCUCCGCAGAUACAGAAGACCAGUAUAUCCCACUGGGCACAGAUGGAAGAAUAUCCCUGCCCCAGCUUCACAAUGAAACCAAAGUUUCAGUGCCUGACACCUGCAGCAGCUGAUAGAACAAUUAAGAACCAUUGCAUAAUUCUGCCCUCACUCAGCCUAGGCCAUGGGAGGAACAGAGCUGCAAUGAAAUCAUCACCAAAAUGUAAGGCAAGCAAGAAACAAAAUUUUGUUUUGGUAAACACUGUACGUUUGGAGUACUUUGUUAUUUCAUCGUGACCUAGUGAACA